CGGGGUCUAAUACCGGAUAACACCGGCCUCCGCAUGGAGGCUGGUUGAAAGCUCCGGCGGUGAAGGAUGAGCCCGCGGCCUAUCAGCUUGUUGGUGGGGUAAUGGCCUACCAAGGCGACGACGGGUAGCCGGCCUGAGAGGGCGACCGGCCACACUGGGACUGAGACACGGCCCAGACUCCUACGGGAGGCAGCAGUGGGGAAUAUUGCACAAUGGGCGAAAGCCUGAUGCAGCGACGCCGCGUGAGGGAUGACGGCCUUCGGGUUGUAAACCUCUUUCAGCAGGGAAGAAGCGAAAGUGACGGUACCUGCAGAAGAAGCGCCGGCUAACUACGUGCCAGCGGGCGCGGUAAUACGUAGGGCGCAAGCGUUGUCCGGAAUUAUUGGGCGUAAAGAGCUCGUAGGCGGCUUGUCACGUCGGGUGUGAAAGCCCGGGGCUUAACCCCGGGUCUGCAUCCGAUACGGGCAGGCUAGAGUGUGGUAGGGGAGAUCGGAAUUCCUGGUGUAGCGGUGAAAUGCGCAGAUAUCAGGAGGAACACCGGUGGCGAAGGCGGAUCUCUGGGCCAUUACUGACGCUGAGGAGCGAAAGCGUGGGGAGCGAACAGGAUUAGAUACCCUGGUAGUCCACGCCGUAAACGUUGGGAACUAGGUGUUGGCGACAU
rnacentral:rRNA from 1 species